rnacentral:rRNA from 1 species
GCCAAACAGCUAGCUCAAUUACCCAAUAACUAAACAAUAUAAAUAAAACAAAAUAAGCCUAACACCAAAAAUUAAAUCAUUCUUUUACCUUAGUAUGGGCGACAGAAAAGGUUACACCUGGAGCAAUAGAAAAAGUACCGCAAGGGAAAGCUGAAAGAGAAAUGAAAUAACUUAUAUAAGCACCAAAAAGCAAAGAUUAAAUCUUGUACCUUUCGCAUCAUGAUUUAGCCAGUAUAUCCAAGCAAAGAGACCUUUAGUUUGAAACCCCGAAACCAAGUGAGCUACCCCGAGACAGCCUAUUAAGGGCCAACCCGUCUCUGUGGCAAAAGAGUGGGAAGAGCUCCGGGUAGAGGUGACAGACCUACCGAACUUGGUGAUAGCUGGUUGCCUAAGAAGUGAAUAGAAGUUCAGCCUCGUACUCCCUGAAUCAAAAGAUAUAAAAAGAUAUUAGAGGGAAAUAUAUGAGAGUUAGUUAAAGGGGGUACAGCCCCUUUAACAAAGGACACAACCUUUCCAGGAGGAUAAAGAUCAUAAUACAUAAGACAUCCUGUUCUAGUGGGCCUAAAGGCAGCCAUCUAAACAGAAAGCGUUAAAGCUCAGACAGAAAUAAGUUUACUAUUCCGACAAGAAAUCUUACUCCCCUAAAUAUUAUUAGGCCAGCCCAUGCCCACAUGGGAGAGACUAUGCUAAAAUGAGUAACAAGAAGGCCAGCCCUUCUCCAAGCACAAGUGUAAGCCAAACCGGACCGACCAUUGGCAAUUAACGAACUCAACCCGAGAGAGUAAUGUGUAUUACAACGAAACCAGGAAGAACCCACAAUUAACCCAUCGUUACCCCCACACUGGCGUGCUAUUAAAGGAAAGACUAAAAGAAGGGAAAGGAACUCGGCAAACACAAGCCUCGCCUGUUUACCAAAAACAUCGCCUCCUGCAACACAACCAAGUAUAGGAGGUCCAGCCUGCCCAGUGACUACAAGUUCAACGGCCGCGGUAUUUUGACCGUGCAAAGGUAGCGCAAUCACUUGUCUCUUAAAUGGAGACCUGUAUGAAUGGCUAAACGAGGGCUUAACUGUCUCCCCCCUCCAGUCAGUGAAAUUGAUCUACCCGUGCAGAAGCGGG